rnacentral:rRNA from 1 species
AGUGAACGCUGGCGGUAGGCCUAACACAUGCAAGUCGAACGGCAGCACAGUAAGAGCUUGCUCUUACGGGUGGCGAGUGGCGGACGGGUGAGGAAUACAUCGGAAUCUACUUUUUCGUGGGGGAUAACGUAGGGAAACUUACGCUAAUACCGCAUACGACCUACGGGUGAAAGCAGGGGAUCUUCGGACCUUGCGCGAUUGAAUGAGCCGAUGUCGGAUUAGCUAGUUGGCGGGGUAAAGACCCACCAAGGCGACGAUCCGUAGCUGGUCUGAGAGGAUGAUCAGCCACACUGGAACUGAGACACGGUCCAGGCUCCUACGGGAGGCAGCAGUGGGGAAUAUUGGACAAUGGGCGCAAGCCUGAUCCAGCCAUACCGCGUGGGUGAAGAAGGCCUUCGGGUUGUAAAGCCCUUUUGUUGGGAAAGAAAAGCAGCAGGUUAAUACCCCGCUGUUCUGACGGUACCCAAAGAAUAAGCACCGGCUAACUUCGUG